rnacentral:lncRNA from 1 species
GAAGGAUAAAAGAGUCAUUCUCACACACUAAAAACCCUUCCCUGACCUCAAGACCCUAAUCGACACAACCCCCUCCUUUAAUUACCUCGCUAUUCAAUUCUACAACUCAAUCGCUCAACUAUCGGUCUUCUCUCAGCCCUCUCUAUAUUCUUUCUUCUUGAUGUACGCCUCCCCUCUGUCUAUGAUAUCGGUUUGGAAGUUCAUGUAGUGGCGCUCAGUUUUUGGUGGAACGCAACCAAGACUCAGGUGAUGAUUGCCAUUCGAACACACAUUAAAGACAGGUCCUGUGGGUGAAUCGGGGAGAAGGGAGAUGGCAGAAGCCCUAGCCGCCGUCGGAUGGUUCCGGUUGAUACAUCUUGAUCUACUAGCAUUCUCUUUAUGGAUGUAAAAAUGGGUUACCAGAAUCCAGAAUUAGGUCUUGAUUGAAGCGAAAGUAACAAUUUUGCACGGAAAUUGGGGAUUUUUAUAAGUUAGUGUAGCUGUUGAGGAUUCUAGGGUUUGUGAGAGGUGUGUAUAAAAUUGCGAAGGAAGAUGUUUUAUUCGCAGUUUAUAUUAGCAAAAAAGGGUCCGUUAGGGACGAUAUGGAUAGCGGCGCAUCUCGAGAGGAAGCUUAGGAAAAAUCAGGUUGCUGAUACUGAUAUUGGUGUCUCUGUAGGUUGCUUGUGGGUUCGGAUUUGUGGUUUUCGCUGACCCGGUGGUUGCUGAAAGAGUUGUGAAAGAUAAGCAUAUCAUAGAUGGUAGCGAUGUGGAGGGGAAGGCGGUUUCAACGGAUGAUCAAACAAGUUGUUAACUGGAAGAACGGUAGUGUCCAAUUCUUGGCGUUUUUUUCCCGGGUAUGCUUUGUUCCAACUUCAUAGGAAAUUUUGCAAAAGAAUUCAUGGGUGGGGUCAGACGAUUGACAAAGUUUGUCACUCAGCAUUAACGAGUUUUUGAAACCUGCUGCUGGUGAAAGAAACUACACCCCUUGGCGGGAGUGGAGGCCAUAAAGGAGGUAGACGUUACAACCAAGGUUCUGCAAGCCAUGCCCCUAAAGCCCCAAAAAUUGAAGACUUGCGUCACUUUUCUACUUUAGGUGGCAGGGGAAUUAUUCUUCUCGCCAUGCUGACACGUCAUCAACUUUUCAACACUUUUACUGAUGGCAGAAGUAAUCAUAUUAGCAUAACCGAGUCCUAUUUAUUCGCAAAUGUCUCAGAAAUGUAAAUUUCUUUUUCUUUCAUGUUCUUUUCUGCAUUUGUCAGCGUCUUUUAUUUAGAAAUGCUUUGGAUUUUUUCCUAAUUUUUAAAGGAUUUUAGCGUAAUAGUUCUAUUUUUUUUUUUUUUGGAGUAG